AGGAUGUAUAAAGGAGAGAAGGUUAGCACUCCCCUUGGCAAGGAUGGAAAAGGCCCCUAGGCCUGUCAACAUGCUUACGCUUAAGGCACUGCCACCUACUUCAUGGCAUCUGACCAUCAUUUUUU
rnacentral:ncRNA from 1 species